GAUGAAGAACGUAGCGAAAUGCGAUAAGUAGUGUGAAUUGCAGAAUUCAGUGAAUCAUCGAAUCUUUGAACGCACAUUGCGCCCUUUGGUAUUCCUUAGGGCAUGCCUGUUCGAGCGUCAUUACAACCCUCAAGCCCCCCGGCUUGGUGUUGGGGACCGGCCACCGGUGCCCUGCUGCUUCCGCGGCAGGCGCGCCCGGCCGCCCCCGAAAUGAAUUGGCGGCCCCGUCGCGGCCUCCCUCUGCGUAGUAGCACACAUCUCGCAGCUGGAGCGCGGCGCGGCCACUGCCGUAAAACGCACCAACUUUUUUUUACAGUUGACCUCGAAUCAGGUAGGAAUACCCGCUGAACUUAAGCAUAUCAAUAAGCGGAGGA
rnacentral:misc_RNA from 1 species